rnacentral:misc_RNA from 1 species
GAUGAAGAACGUAGCGAAAUGCGAUAAGUAGUGUGAAUUGCAGAAUUCAGUGAAUCAUCGAAUCUUUGAACGCACAUUGCGCCCCUUGGUAUUCCAUGGGGCAUGCCUGUUCGAGCGUCAUUUGUACCUUCAAGCUUUGCUUGGUGUUGGGUGUUUGUCCCGAGGGACUCGCCUUAAAGUAAUUGGCAGCCAGUGUUUGGUUUUGAAGCGCAGCACAAGUCGCGAUUCAAGGCUACACGCCCGCUUCCACAAGCCUUUUUUCACUUUUGACCUCGGAUCAGGUAGGGAUACCCGCUGAACUUAAGCAUAUCAAUAAGGAGGA